rnacentral:tRNA from 1 species
AUCUCCUUAGUAUUAAAUUAGUACGGAUGACUUCCAAUCAUCUAGUCUUGGUUAGACCCCAAGAAGAGAUA